AUACAGAUGACGAGUCCAAAAUAGGACGAAAUGCACAUACUGGAU
rnacentral:hammerhead_ribozyme from 1 species